rnacentral:rRNA from 1 species
AUUGAACGCUGGCGGCAGGCCUAACACAUGCAAGUCGAGCGGCAGCGGAAAGUAGCUUGCUACUUUGCCGGCGAGCGGCGGACGGGUGAGUAAUGUCUGGGGAUCUGCCUGAUGGAGGGGGAUAACUACUGGAAACGGUAGCUAAUACCGCAUAACGUCGCAAGACCAAAGUGGGGGACCUUCGGGCCUCACGCCAUCGGAUGAACCCAGAUGGGAUUAGCUAGUAGGUGGGGUAAUGGCUCACCUAGGCGACGAUCCCUAGCUGGUCUGAGAGGAUGACCAGCCACACUGGGACUGAGACACGGCCCAGACUCCUACGGGAGGCAGCAGUGGGGAAUAUUGCACAAUGGGCGCAAGCCUGAUGCAGCCAUGCCGCGUGUGUGAAGAAGGCCUUCGGGUUGUAAAGCACUUUCAGCGAGGAGGAAGGGUGGUGUGUUAAUAGCACACGACAUUGACGUUACUCGCAGAAGAAGCACCGGCUAACUCCGUGCCAGCAGCCGCCGUAA